CUGACAAUGUCCAUCAUGGAAGGCUAGCUCUUAAAUUUCAGAGAGAUAUCGAAGGCAGGAAGAGCUUUCGCCAAUGGUGACAUUAACAAAUAAAUCUCUCAUGUAUUUCGAGGAUUUGACGCUUCCCACUGUUCAGGUUAUAGUAAUGACAGGAAGCAUGAGAUGUUCUCGAUGUCGUCAAAGAGUUUCCCAAGUUAUUUCCAGGAUGUCUGGGUUGAAAGAGUACACAGUAGAUGUGCACAACAAACAAAUAAUUAUGAAGGGAGAUAUUGGAAAGCAGUGGAAGAAAGAGGAUGAUCAUUCCAAUGACGAAAUGAACAAUAAGCGUUGUCAGAGAUUAAAACUGUUUUUGAGAUCUUUCGUGGCGACUUGCUUUGGUAAUUAUAUGGCUAAUUAAGACAACCUAUGAAUUAAUAUAGCAACUUUUGCCGUUAAAAGUAAUUGAUUAGUGCUAUUUGUCAUGUGAUUUUUGUU